GUGCCAGCAGCCGCGGUAAUACGUAGGUGGCAAGCGUUGUCCGGAAUUAUUGGGCGUAAAGCGCGCGCAGGCGGUUCCUUAAGUCUGAUGUGAAAGCCCACGGCUCAACCGUGGAGGGUCAUUGGAAACUGGGGGACUUGAGUGCAGAAGAGGAGAGUGGAAUUCCACGUGUAGCGGUGAAAUGCGUAGAGAUGUGGAGGAACACCAGUGGCGAAGGCGGCUCUCUGGUCUGUAACUGACGCUGAGGCGCGAAGGCGUGGGGAGCAAACAGGAUUAGAUUCCCCUGGUGGUUC
rnacentral:rRNA from 1 species